CGGAGGUGACAUCCAAAACUGGGCAGCGCUCCCUCUGUGACGAUUUCUACGCACGAUCAUUUCCUAUAAAGCAUCUGUGACGUAAAACCGCGUGGGAGCACUUACAAACACUGAAAUCAGAUGUUUCAACAACAAUGCUCCUCCUCACUACUUAACGCUCUGAACCGACUCCUGUUCCGCAGAAGGGAAUUCCAACCUCCUGAUGCAAAGCCAAAUAAACCAGUGUUUUCCAAAGGAAGCUCAGACCGUCCCCUACUGUUACUUUGAUGUGAAAGAAAUGGCUCGCAGUCUUGAUAAUCAUCAUGCCAACCUCAACGUACCCACAGCUUUCUCCACACAGGAACCCAGAGCUUACAAAUCUGCGCGCUGGCUGCAUACUUUGUUUUACCACUGAAUCCACAUAUAAAAUCCCACCGAUACGUUGACCUUGAAAGAGCUGGCGCGGGCCCCCAUCUGUCUCUCACACUCCCCCUCAGCUGUCUGAGCGGUCUACAUCUGGAAGUUGUUGAGUGACAUCAGUGAUGGACAGGUUCUCAUCCCAGCAUGUGAAGUCUGAGUCAAUCUCAGACCGUCUCUGCCUCCAUUUAAUACUCUUUGAUUCUGUUCUACUUGGCUGGUAUACAGUAAGCAGCGAGUAGCGGUUAAAGGAUUACCACCAUCCUGUCUGGUUCUCAUUCUCUUUGUUUCUUUUGUUUAUCAGUAGUCCCAAAAUGUAUGAGAGCUCUUAUGCAGCAGGAGAAAACAUGUCUAUGAGGCUGCUAAAGACUAUCAGCAGUUUGCAGCUAAAAGUCUGUAAAAGCUUCAUCACCCAGCCUGAGAACAAAGGCUUUGAUUUAAUUUGUGUACAUGUGCUCAUGCUGGGUUCAUGGCAAACUGAUUUUGUUACAUUAAAAUGAAAUAUACAGCAAUUAAAGGGAAAGUGCGCUGAUUUUACACAUCAAAGUCUGUUUACAGGUCUUGGGGAGUACUACUAUAUAUAUGAAAGAAGUUGUAUAAAGCCUUUAGUGAUGUCACUUGAGUCAGUUGAGUCUGAAGACUACAAGUUUGAAAAUGAAAAAACAUCUGAUGGUGUGGAGUUAGGAAGAAGUGAGCUGACCAGACGUCUGUGGUUGGCUCAAGGCCACAUUAGAUGCUACUAGUGUAACACACUCGAAUCUCUGAAUGAACUGUUGGUGGUGGAGUUGCAUUGUGGGUAAUAUAGGCGCCAGGUUUUGACAAGGAAGUAUGUGUAGAAUAAAAAAAAAAUACUGCUGCAUUGAUUUUUAACUUUUUUUUUUUAAACUGUCCAUUGAAGGCAAUGCUAAGUCGGUGGAGUACUCUUUUAAGACUCGUAUUUAUAACAAAUACAAAGAGUAUUUGUAAAGGAGCAGUGUGUAACAUCUGGCGGUAUCUAGUGGUGAGGUUGCAGAUGAACUGAAGCCUCUCCCGUGUGCUAAGUGUGUAGAAGAACUAAGGUGGCCGAUGCGAAAAUGCGAAUAGCCCUCUCUGGAGCCGGUUGUUGUAAGAGUCGUGUAGGUCAUUUGGAGUAGAGCCAGUGUGUAGAGUGUGUGUGUACGGGGGAAGUGAGUGGUGAAGCAAGAGAGAGAGAGGCAGGGAAUGUUUGU